rnacentral:ncRNA from 1 species
UCCAAGAGGAUUGAUAACGUUUGUCCGACGCGCAGCGCGCAGCGAAGUCCGGUGCGAGUCCGGCGCUGUCCCGCAACUGUCAUGGUCCCCUCGGGCCGAGCCAGGUCGCCUGCCGCUGCGCCGACGCCGUC